ACUCAUGACCUCUGUUCUGACCUUCACUGCUUCUCACCUCCAUCACGGAAAGACCAUCUCCUGUACUGCCACCUACAAUAAACAAGAUGGCAGCCCUUCGUCAUCUGCUCACAGUGUUUUAACAGCUGAUAUUUCAUUUCCUCCACAGAUUCUACACUCAUCUGUUUGCACCAAAACUGAAAGCCAGGUCAACUGUUCCUGUGAGACUGUGGGAAACCCUUCCCCCGUUUUACACUGGAAUUUGGAUGGGCUACCUGUAGAUCACUCUGACAGGUUUGCAAUCAGCAAUGAGUUGCUAAAUGACACAGGUGUGAGGAGCGUCAUCACUGUGAGUCAGCCACCAUGGGGCGAUCUUUCCACCUUGGUCUGCCACAGCUCCAACUCUCUGGGAGCUGCCAGUCAACGUUUCUAUUUCAUCAGCCUUGAGCAACAAACCUCUGCAGGAAGUCAAGGUCUGUCUUAUGUGUAUCGCUUGUAAUUUUUAGCGGUGAAUUGUGGUGAACUUGAAAGACUCUAAAUUAUGUUUAAUCUUAUUAUAUAUUUGGCUAAUGGCUAGGAAUGGUCAAAACACUAGUGGAUUUAUUUCUAUUAUUCAACGUUGAAUAUUUCCUCAAUCUUUGUUUCAAACACUGAAUCAAAAAUAAACCUGAAAUUUUUUUCAACUGCCACAUCAAUAUUCUUAAACAUGGAUAAUGAGAUGCUGUAAUCAGUCACCAAGCGAGAUGAUCUUUUUUCACUCCCAACUUUCAUGGCAGGUGGACCUCACAGUGGAGUCCUUCCUUGGGCUGUUGCUGGUGUGUCUCUCGGUGUGAAUGUCUUCUGUAUAAUCUUCAUGGCGUUCCUUUGGAGAGCACGCAGGAAUGUGAAGCCAAAAGAAGAGGACACAACUUACAUUUCACUGGAUCAUAGAGACAUGUCUUCAGAGUAUGAUGUCAUUGCCCAAACUCGAAACUGAUGGCCGACUUACACUGAUGAUGAUCAUGAUAAUUAUCAGAUCAUUUUACUUAAAGAUUCCUUGUAUUGCUUAUUUUGAAACAAACGUUGCUCCUGUCAAUCUGCUCUUUUCUGCAAUGUCUUCCGUCUGUUACGUAAUGAAUCCAUUUUCAACAGGGUGUUGGGCACAAAACAUCAACAGCUAUUUAAUGUAAUUUUAAAACAGCCCAUGAUGUUCAAUUUUGGUUUAAACUUCCUCACAAAGGUACACUCUUACCCUUGUGGUGCUUUUCAAGCUGGUGGUGUUUCCACUUUGGGUGAAAGGUCUCCAUUCUCAGAUUAAAGGGCUGAACAUGUAUCUCUACAGUAGGUCUGUAAAGCCAUUCUGUAUUGAUGUGUCUUCUUCAUGUGCAUCAAGCUGAAUAACUCCAUUACGCAAUUGUUUAAUUCAGCAUUUGAUUGUGUGUUGGGUUUUUUUUGUUUGCUUAACUGUGAGAUCAAUAUAAUUGUAAUUAUGUGUUUGAUCCAAUAUAUUUG